UACGUAGGGUGCGAGCGUUAAUCGGAAUUACUGGGCGUAAAGCGUGCGCAGGCGGUUUUGGAAGCCAGAUGUGAAAUCCCCGGGCUUAACCUGGGAAUGGCAUUUGGGACUGCAAGGCUCGAGUGCGGCAGAGGAGACUGGAAUUCCUGGUGUAGCAGUGAAAUGCGUAGAUAUCAGGAAGAACACCCGUGGCGAAGGCGGCUCUCUGGGACGGUACUGACGCUGAGACGCGAAAGCGUGGGGAGCGAACAGG
rnacentral:rRNA from 1 species